rnacentral:rRNA from 1 species
AUUGAACGCUGGCGGCAUGCCUUACACAUGCAAGUCGAACGGCAGCACGGGUGCUUGCACCUGGUGGCGAGUGGCGAACGGGUGAGUAAUACAUCGGAACGUACCUUAUCGUGGGGGAUAACGCAGCGAAAGCUGUGCUAAUACCGCAUACGCCCUGAGGGGGAAAGCGGGGGAUCGAAAGACCUCGCGCGAUUAGAGCGGCCGAUGCCUGAUUAGCUUGUUGGUGGGGUAAAAGCCCACCAAGGCGACGAUCAGUAGCUGGUCUGAGAGGACGAUCAGCCACACUGGGACUGAGACACGGCCCAGACUCCUACGGGAGGCAGCAGUGGGGAAUUUCGGACAAUGGGGGCAACCCUGAUCCAGCAAUGCCGCGUGAGUGAAGAAGGCCUUCGGGUUGUAAAGCUCUUUUGUCAGGGAAGAAACACCGGCCCUAACACAGUCCGGGAAUGACGGUACCUGAAGAAUAAGCACCGGCUAACUACGUGCCAGCCGCCGCAGUAA